rnacentral:rRNA from 1 species
UAAGCGGAGGAAAAGAAACUAACAAGGAUUCCCCUAGUAACGGCGAGUGAAGCGGGAAGAGCUCAACAUUGUAAUCUGGCUGUCGCAGUCCGAGUUGUAGUCUAUAGAAGCAUGAUCCGCGCCGGCCCUUGGGCAUGUCUGUUGGAACGCAGUGUCAAAGAGGGUGAAAAUCCCGUACAUACCAAGGACGACCGUGUGCAUUGUGGUCUGCUCUCUAAGAGUCGAGUUGUUUGGGAAUGCAGCUCUAAUUGGGUGGUAAAUUCCAUCUAAAGCUAAAUAUCGACGAGAGACCGAUAGCGAACAAGUACAGUAAUGGAAAGAUGAAAAGUAGCCUGCAGAGGCAAUGAAACAAUACGUGAAACCGUUUGUAGGGAAGCGAUGGAACCUUUUCACGCUGCGAGGGUUCAGCUUGGCUUCGGCUUAGUGUAUUCCCUCGUUUUGCGGACCAGCAUCAGUUUGCUUCGCAGUAUAAGGGUGAUUGGAACGUGGCUUCUCCGGAAGUGUUAUAGCCUUUCACUGGAUGCUGUGUCGCAGACUGAGGACUGCAGUGCGCCGUAAGGCAGGCCUUCGGGCACGAGCACUUAGGAUGCUGGGCGAAUGGGUUUCAACGACCCGUCUUGAAACACG